rnacentral:tRNA from 1 species
GCCUUCGUAGUGUAGUGGUCAGCACACUCGGUGCGUAUUCGAGAGGUCCGUGGUUCGAGUCCCGGCGAAGGCA